rnacentral:rRNA from 1 species
CCUACGGGUGGCAGCAGUGGGGAAUAUUGCACAAUGGGGGAAACCCUGAUGCAGCGACGCCGCGUGAGUGAAGAAGUAUUUCGGUACGUAAAGCUCUAUCAGCAGGGAAGAAAAUGACGGUACCUGAUCAAGAAGCCCCGGCCAAAUACGUGCCAGCCGCCGCGGUAAUACGUAGGGGGCAAGCGUUAUCCGGAUUUACGGGGUGUAAAGGGAGCGUAGACGGCAGCACAAGUCUGGAGUGAAAUGCCGGGGCUUAACCCCGGAACUGCUUUGGAAACUGUGCAGCUAGAGUGCAGGAGAGGUAAGUGGAAUUCCUGGUGUAGCGGUGAAAUGCGUAGAUAUUAGGAGGAACACCAGUGGCGAAGGCGGCUUACUGGACUGUAACUGACGUUGAGGCUCGAAAGCGUGGGGAGCAAACAGGAUUAGAUACCCGAGUAGUC